CGCAGCCGCGGUAAUUCUAGCUCCAAUAGCGUAUAUUAAAGUUGUUGCAGUUAAAAAGCUCGUAGUUGAAUUUCGGGAUCAAUAUGUUGGUCGUGCCUCGGUACGUACUAGCAUAUUGGUUUCUCCUUUCUGAAGAACCAUGAUGUCAUUUAUUUGGUGUCGUGGGGAAUCAGGACUGUUACUUUGAAAAAAUUAGAGUGUUUAAAGCAGGCUCACGCUUGAAUACAUUAGCAUGGAAUAAUGAAAUAGGACGUUUGAUUCUAUUUUGUUGGUUUCUAGGAUCGACGUAAUGAUUAAUAGGGAUAGUUGGGGGCAUUAGUAUUCAAUUGUCAGAGGUGAAAUUCUUGGAUUUAUUGAAGACUAACUACUGCGAAAGCAUUUGCCAAGGAUGUUUUCAUUAAUCAAGAACGAAAGUUAGGGGAUCGAAGACGAUCAGAUACCGUCGUAGUCUUAACCAUAAACUAUGCCGACUAGGGAUCGGAUGAUGUUAAUUUUUUUAAUGACUCAUUCGG
rnacentral:misc_RNA from 1 species